AUUGGAUUGACAGAGUUUCAAUUCAGAAAUAAAGAAACAAAUGCUAAAACACCAUCAAAGAGAAAUGCAAUUCAAGCAUGUGCUGUCUGUCAUUCAGUGUCUGACACCACGUAUCGAUCUGGUGUUGUGCCGGACGCUGCUCCUUUAAGUAUCAUGCCUUUUGUAUUAUUCAGAGCUCACAAACCAAUUGGUCGUACAUGCGCCAAAACACAUAUAUGUUCU